ACGCACGCUGGCGGCGUGCUUAACACAUGCAAGUCGAACGGAAAGGCCCUGCUUGCAGGGUCCUCGAGUGGCGAACGGGUGAGUAACACGUGGGUGAUCUGCCCUGCACUUCGGGAUAAGCUUGGGAAACUGGGUCUAAUACCGGAUAGGAACCAUCUUUAGUGUGGUGGUUGGAAAGUUUUUUCGGUGUAGGAUGAGCUCGCGGCCUAUCAGCUUGUUGGUGGGGUAAUGGCCUACCAAGGCGGCGACGGGUAGCCGGCCUGAGAGGGUGUACGGCCACAUUGGGACUGAGAUACGGCCCAGACUCCUACGGGAGGCAGCAGUGGGGAAUAUUGCACAAUGGGCGCAAGCCUGAUGCAGCGACGCCGCGUGGGGGAUGAAGGCCUUCGGGUUGUAAACUCCUUUCGCUAGGGACGAAGCUUUGUUGUGACGGUACCUAGAUAAGAAGCACCGGCUAACUACGUG
rnacentral:rRNA from 1 species